rnacentral:rRNA from 1 species
UACGAAGGGGGCUAGCGUUGCUCGGAAUCACUGGGCGUAAAGGGUGCGUAGGCGGGUCUUUUAAGUCAGGGGUGAAAUCCUGGAGCUCAACUCCAGAACUGCCUUUGAUACUGAGGAUCUUGAGUUCGGGAGAGGUGAGUGGAACUGCGAGUGUAGAGGUGAAAUUCGUAGAUAUUCGCAAGAACACCAGUGGCGAAGGCGGCUCACUGGCCCGAUACUGACGCUGAGGCACGAAAGCGUGG